AGUUUUGCCUCAUGGUCACUUGACCUCAUCUGAUCUCAGAAGCUAAGAAGGAGCAAACUUGGUUAGUAUUUGGAAGAGAUACUACCAAGAAUUGCAUGUGCUAUAAAUUA
rnacentral:rRNA from 1 species